UUUUGUAAAAAAAGAAGAAGAAAAUCUCAAAUUUCAUAUAAAAGGAAUGUAUUCCAUUGAACCAGAAAAAUAUUUCAUUUCCUAAACUAGUCUCUAGAAUUUAUUUUUUUUUGGUUCUCAUUCGGUGUUUAGUGACCGCAUUGAAGCCCCAAGUAAUCCGGAUGUGCGUUGCAGGGCCCAUUAUAGGCGACAGCGUUCCCAACAGAGUUUCUCCAUACCCAGAGUCGAAUCCGAGACCUCUGGUUAAGGAUGAAGCAGUCUCAUCCAAUGCACCAGAAUCCAUGUUGGUAGUCUCUAGAAUUUAUUAACUUUUUGGUUUUUCAACCGGUGUUCGGUGAUAGCAUUGAAGCCCCCAACUAAUCCGGAUGCGCGUUGCAAGGCUCAUUAUAGUCGACAGCGCUCCCAACAGAGUUUCUCCAUACCCAGGAUCGAAUUCGAGACCUCUGAUUAAGGGUGAAACAAUCUCAUCCAAUGCACCACAACACUUAUAGUCUCUAGAAUUACAAAAGGCCGCCACUCACAAAACUGCACCACUUGUUAUAAGAUCAAAAUUAGCCUCACUUUGAAGAAAGAAAAUAAAUGCGAUUUUGAAUACAUGAUGACGAAUGAAAAAGACUUGACUUUUUGUCGAC
rnacentral:lncRNA from 1 species